rnacentral:rRNA from 1 species
UACGUAGGGUGCGAGCGUUGUCCGGAAUUAUUGGGCGUAAAGAGCUUGUAGGCGGUUUGUCGCGUCUGCCGUGAAAAUUCGAGGCUCAACCUCGAACUUGCGGUGGGUACGGGCAGACUAGAGUGUGGUAGGGGAGUCUGGAAUUCCUGGUGUAGCGGUGAAAUGCGCAGAUAUCAGGAGGAACACCGGUGGCGAAGGCGGGACUCUGGGCCGAUACUGACGCUGAGGAGCGAAAGCGUGGGGAGCAAACAGG